rnacentral:rRNA from 1 species
CUCAGGAUAGCUGGAACUUAUGAGAAAGUAGUUUUAUCAGGUAAAGCGAAUGAUUAGAGGCUUUGGGGAAGAAACUUCCUCGACCUAUUCUCAAACUUUUAAAUAGGUAAGAUUUGAAGGAUACUUAGGUGAUCUUUCAAUCUCUUGAAUAUAAAGUUCUUAGUGGGCCAUUUUUGGUAAGCAGAACUGGCGAUGUGGGAUGAACCGAACGUUAAGUUAAAGUGCCAAAUAGUACGCUCAUGAGAUACCAUAAAAGGUGUUGGUUCAUUUUGACAGCAGGACGGUGGCCAUGGAAGUCGGAACCCGCUAAGGAGUGUGUAACAACUCACCUGCCGAAUGAACUAGCCCUGAAAAUGGAUGGCGCUUAAGCGUAUAACUUAUACUUAACCCUUACUUGAAU